rnacentral:lncRNA from 1 species
AUCGAUUUAACAAAAAAAGGGGGUUUUUUGUUUUUAAUUUUUUUGUUUUUGUUUUUUAAUUUCUGGGGGUUUUUCUGUUUUUAAAUUUCUGUGUUUUUAGGUGUUCGUUCGACAAUGACCGAGGAAGUUGAUGGAAACGGGUUGGGUUCAGUAGCUAAACGGGUGCUGGAUUUCGAUUCAAUGAUCGGGGAAGUUGAUGGGAACAAGAAAGAUCAAAAAAAAAUAUGAGAAUUAGGGAUUUGGAA